rnacentral:rRNA from 1 species
GAUUGACGCUAGCGGCAGGCAUAAUACAUGCAAGUUGAACGAGAUUAGUUUUAGCAAUAGAACUAGUUUAGUGGCGCACGGGUGCGUAACGCGUAUGCAACCUACCUUAAACAGGGGAAUAGCCUCUCGAAAGAGAGAUUAAUACCGCAUAAUAUAUAUUUAAUGCAUAUUAGAUAUAUUAAACCUACGGGGGUUUAAGAUGGGCAUGCGUGACAUUAGCUAGUUGGUGAGGUAACGGCUCACCAAGGCAACGAUGUCUAGGGGGUCUGAGAGGAUGUCCCCCCACACUGGUACUGAGACACGGACCAGACUCCUACGGGAGGCAGCAGUAGGGAAUAUUGGUCAAUGGGGGGCAACCCUGAACCAGCCAUGCCGCGUGCAGGAAUAAGGCCCUAUGGGUCGUAAACUGCUUUUUGAACGGGAAGAAAUCUAUUUACGUGUAAAUAGUUGACGGUACCGUUAGAAUAAGGAUCGGCUAACUUCGUGCCAGCAGCCGCGGU